CCUACGGGAGGCAGCAGUGGGGAAUUUUGGACAAUGGGCGCAAGCCUGAUCCAGCAAUGCCGCGUGCAGGAUGAAGGCCUUCGGGUUGUAAACUGCUUUUGUACGGAACGAAAAGUCUUGGGUUAAUACCCUGGGAUCAUGACGGUACCGUAAGAAUAAGCACCGGCUAACUACGUGCCAGCAGCCGCGGUAAUACGUAGGGUGCAAGCGUUAAUCGGAAUUACUGGGCGUAAAGCGUGCGCAGGCGGCCCGUUAAGACAGGUGUGAAAUCCCUGGGCUCAACCUAGGAAUUGCGCUUGUGACUGGCGGGCUCGAGUACGGUAGAGGGGGGUGGAAUUCCUGGUGUAGCAGUGAAAUGCGUAGAGAUCAGGAGGAACACCGAUGGCGAAGGCAGCCCCCUGGGCCUGUACUGACGCUCAUGUACGAAAGCGUGGGGAGCAAACAGGAUUAGAUACCCUGGUAGUCCACGCCGUAAACGAUGGAGGCUAGCCGUUGGUGCGCAUGCGCAUCAGUGGCGCAGCUAACGCAUUAAGCCUCCCGCCUGGGGAGUACGGCCGCAAGGCUAAAACUCAAAGGAAUUGACGG
rnacentral:rRNA from 1 species